rnacentral:rRNA from 1 species
AUUGAACGCUGGCGGCAGGCCUAACACAUGCAAGUCGAACGCGUGGCGGACGGGUGAGUAAUGUCUGGGAAACUGCCUGAUGGGGGGGGAUAACUACUGGAAACGGUAGCUUAUACCGCAUCACCUCGGAUGUGCCCAGAUGGGAUUAGCUUGUAGGUGGGGUAACGGCUCCCCUAGGCGAAGAUCCCUAGCUGGUCUGAGAGGAUGACAAGCCACACUGGAACUGAGACACGGUCCAGACUCCUACGGGAGGCAGCAGUGGGGAAUAUUGCACAAUGGGCGCAAGCCUGAUGCAGCCAUGCCGCGUGUGUGAAGAAGGCCUUCGGGUUGUAAAGUACUUUCAGCGGGGAGGCGUUACCCGCAGAAGAAGCACCGGCUAACUCCGUGCCAGCAGCCGCGGUAAUAC